UGUCUAUAUGCAUAACCUAUGUGUAGCUUUCUUGAUAAACGUAGUAUAAAUAAGCUAUCGUAAUCUAAUCCCAUGCCUUUCUCAUAAUGCUAUAUAUCAAUUUCAUACGAAAAUAUCUAUUCUCUUAUGAUCCAAUCGGCAUCUAAAUAUUCUUACGUGCGUGGUUUGAAUGCUUGGUUUGUACAAUAUUUGUCCCCUUAUUUCCCUGAUCUUUUUAGUUUUAGUUUCUGUUGCCGCAGACAAGCAAUUCAAAUGCAGAGCUACAUCAAAGAUCCGCGUCAAAUAAUUAGGCCAAUAUAAAUAACAAAAUUUGGGCGUAGUGUCGUAGUCGCCUCCAUCCUGUAGCAUCUUAGCUCUUUGUACAUUUUGAUUGUUCAUUUUACUGGCUCCUUCAUUUUCGUCUGCUAGCUCAAUGAUUUGUCAUUGUUAUAAUUGGUUCCUUUCUGUCACUGCUGGUCUUGAACACAUACUGGUGGCAUCCGAUGGGACAAAUUCGACUGGUCUCUAUCCGAGAGGAGAGAUCCGGGGGAAUGUGUGUUGAGGUAUGUUAACUCAUCAGAGGAAUGCCUCUUUAUUUUGGUUCCCCUUAUUUUAUUUGUUGCUGCUGGAGCUUCUUUGGUUGCCACUGAAACAUAUAUACUACUUUUGGAGGUAGAAAACGAUAUGGCGUUGUUUGUACUGAGGCCUGAGUCUGAUCAUUAGGCAUCAAUUUCUGGAUUACUUUUCAACAAAUUUGAUAAGUUGGUUGUUCUUUGGUAUCCAUUUUCACAACUGGUGAAUAAUGUUAGAUGUAUGUAAUACAGGCUCUCAUCAUGUUGGUACAUGGUGAAUGUUCCAUCAAGUUGUGGAUGGCUCUAAGGCAUGUGACACCAAUGAUAGAUACUCCUGCCGUGUCAUGAAGCUCAUUAAGUGCUACAAAAAUAUUUCACAGGGGUAAUUGUUUCUGUUCUUCACCAAUCUACCGUGUCAGAUGUUGUUUUAUUAUUGUUUGUUCUUCGUAGGCAUAGCCUAUUAAUUAUUCACUUGUCCGUAGGUAUGUAUCAUGGCUCUAAGUCACGCACAUGAGAUUUGAGACUUUUUUGGGGGCUAAUGAUAAAUAUUGUUGGUGAUAAGGAGUGUAUGCUUAUGUGCUGUACUUUUCAUUAUCCAAUAUAUGGAUAAUAUUUAUCAUUGUCAAAAGAGUGCACCUCGGGAUAAUGGUUAUGAAAUAUUUUUCCUAUAUUAUUAUGUACUUCAACCUUUUCAUAUUUCAAAGUGGUUGUGAGAAUGGCUAUGAAAUUGAAGAGGCGGCCAGAGGAGGUAGUGAGGGAGCUGCUCCUUCAUCCUCCCCUCCAUACUGUCGGUAAUACAUUAUUUUCUCUCAUAGAUUUAAAGUGAUUUUUUCUGUUGUUGCAAAGCAUGGGUAUUUAAAAAGCUGCAACCCAGUAACUUUGAUUUUCAUAGUCUACUCUGCCUUCUGCGUCUACCUUGUUGUAUAAGAGACCAGUCAGCACUAUGUAUACCAACAAUAACCACACACAUGAAUUCUGAUUUGUGCACAAGGAAGCUCACAAAUUUGUGUCCAUCUUUUUCGUAGUAAUCAUAUUGCUUGCAUAUUUUAUUAGACUGAUCAUAGUCACGAUGAUCAGACAGAUAAUAUUUGGUAGAGAAGAUUAGAAGAAACAUUUAUAUCAUAUUUUUGUAUGUUUUUUCUGUAGAAAAGGUACCAUGGGUUGAUUGUGUUGGAUCCCAUUACUAUAUGAUGUAUUUGACUGCUAUUCCUAAGAACUGCUCCUGGACACAGUGCUCUAUGUUGACAUGUCUUACAUUUUAUUGUGUCGCCUAUCUGUAUAGUUAUUCGGAUCUUACAUUUUUGUAUUUUUGUCGAUGCAGGUGUGUUCUUCCUACUAUAAAGCAACAUGGAUUUCUUUAAAUUAAAUUGUGCAUAUUAUGGAAAAUAAAUCUUGUGUGUCUAUAGUCAUGUUCAUGUAUGUUCUGAACUGAGACAAAUAUUCUUCAUUGUCUAUGCUUUUUCCUUCUGUUAAUGAUGAUAGUGCAGCUCUCCAUGUUAUUAAUUCCUUACCCAUUCACUUGAAAUAUUGCCUAAAUAUUAUUAUUUUUGUAGUUGGUUCAGCAGCCUGACUUAGAUCUUCUACAUUGCCCAUAGAGAAUCUUCAAAAGUGUAGUCAUAUAGAGAAUCUUCAAAAGUGUAGUCAUAUAUGUCACUUGAUAAAUUCCAGGACAUUAAUCUAUACUGCUCCUAUGCGUUUCAGCUGUCACAAAUCCAUGGUGAAAUAAACAGGAGAAUACAUGCUUGCAGAAGUUGUCAAGAGGCUCCAUUUAACCAUCAAAGACCAUGAGACCUACGAAUCCAGUGAUAGAGAUGGACACAAUCUCUCCUUGUGGAAGGACAAUGUAUCAAUUGCCAACAAAACCAAACAUUUCAUCCUAUCUUACCAUGUAGUACUAACUUAACUGCAAUGUAUCACCUGUGUCAAAAACUAUUUGAAUCGCGUAUUUGGCUAUCUAUGAUAUCAAACCUUUGUGUUCUUUCAAUAUCAUAUACACUCGAAAGCAAGGCCAUUAUAUGAUAAAAACCCAUGUGCACUCCUAAGUUUAUCAAAAUAAUUG
rnacentral:lncRNA from 1 species